UAAGGACUGCUGACUAGCCAUGAAGCCGUCUGUCAGACAAGUCCUCAAAGAUUAUCAUGUAUACAAGCGCCAUGAUCCAAGCUUACGUUUGAUUUGCAAAGCCUUAAUGAAUGCUAAACUAUAUGUAACACAUCUACCCUUCACGCAUACCCGUUGAGUUGGACAUAUCUCAACUGCAGGUCGCGGCAAUACAUCUGAAUGUGUGUAUGGAUCGCACACCACAUUCUUUUGGAAACUGGGCCCCAAAAUUCCGUGCACGAAGAACUCGAAAACUCUCGACUGCUGUCAGCUGGGCGACCUAGAUUCAAGAUGAAAUCUAGAGACAUGGGUUAAUGUGGAUCAAAAGCAGACAACCUUGGUUUAUAAGAAUGAAGGUACAAGUUAAUGGAUCAAGUAUCUCGGAUUUAAGCUUGUCAAAUCGGCAGUAAGACUCGGCGGUGUAGCAAUUCCGAGAUGAAAACAUAGAUGUAAAAAUCGCGUGAAGUCAGUACUGUUUGAAGAGGCACAGACAAUGUAAGAAUCGUGCGAGCAUGUCUGAGGUAUCGGCACAUGAAGUUUACGGCCACCAGCACAAUAGCUACAUUCCUACUCUGUCGUAUAACUGUAUUGCUAUCGUACUUAGACAGUUUGUGGUCAAAGUAUGUUGUGAAAUACAUUGCUGUUUGUUUUUGUGAAAGAUUUGGUAAAUAAAGUCAGCCUUGACAAAGA